GACGAACGCUGGCGGCGUGCUUAACACAUGCAAGUCGAACGGUGAAGCGCCUUCCUUUUUGGUGGGUGUGGAUGAGUGGCGAACGGGUGAGUAACACGUGAGUAACCUGCCCCCUUCUUCUGGAUAACCGCAUGAAAGUGUGGCUAAUACGGGAUAUUCUGGGUCUGUCGCAUGAUGGGUCUGGGAAAGAUCUUGUUUCGGUGGGGGAUGGGCUCGCGGCCUAUCAGCUUGUUGGUGGGGUGAUGGCCUACCAAGGCGGUGACGGGUAGCCGGCCUGAGAGGGUGGACGGUCACACUGGGACUGAGACACGGCCCAGACUCCUACGGGAGGCAGCAGUGGGGAAUAUUGCACAAUGGGCGCGAGACUGAUGCAGCGACGCCGCGUGCGGGAUGGGGGCCUUCGGGUUGUGAACCUCUUUCGCCAGUGAAGCAGGCCUGCCUCGUUUGUGGGUGGGUUGACGGUAGCUGGAUAAGAAGCGCCGGCUAACUACGUG
rnacentral:rRNA from 1 species